AGGGAUGUAAUUAAUUAUAAUAUCUGUUUUGCAAUCAGAAAGUGCAUUUUGCCUUCCUUU
rnacentral:tRNA from 1 species